rnacentral:lncRNA from 1 species
GCUUUGUGUUUAAUGUUAUGAAUCUGACUUCCUUGUCAACAUCAAGAUUCAUGACAGCAAACAGAGAGCUCAUGAAGCCUGCAUUUCUGUGGGUUGGGAAUAGAUUAGAGUAUUUAGACAGCUUUCAUGUCCAGUCUCUGCCAGUCUUGCUGGACAUAAAAGAAACUUCAGAAAAUUCUCCAGAUCUACUACAGACCCCGAGUGAGAUCCAGGGAGGAGAAGCAGUACUUGCUGAAGGGAGGAAGCUGGUGGAGUAGCGGAGAGAAACUAAAGCCCUUCAGGAGCCGAAUGAGCGUGUAUAUUCAGGAGCCGAUGUCCAGGACCAAGGUGAACUGGGGUUGAAGACGUGCUCUGAACCGCAGGGUCUGUGUCUGUCCCCUUGUUUGCACAAAUGCAAACCGAGGCUUGAAGGGAACAGAAAAGAGGUGAAGUGCCUGCCAAUAAUAAGCCUAUGCUUCAGUGGAGAAGGCAAAUCAGUAAGAAAUUAUGGAAGGGACUGAGGAAUCACUUACAAAUGCGAAUGCUUUUUACAAGAAAGAAAAUGUUCACCGUAAAAGAAUCGGCACUAAUCUACAAUUGUCAUAGAAUGGAAAAUAUAAUUUUGCAGGAUUAUAGAAUUUAAAGAUUUUUGGUUCUGCUCUGAUUUGGAUCACUGCAUAACAACUUCAAGAACUUGAGAGUUG